UAGGAAGGAGGCCUCCUUCGUACAGCCAGAGUUAGUCUACUGGCCUCAAAAUACAUACAUUCCCCAACAGACCCAAUGUUACAUGGGUUAUUCACCAGUGAUGGACCCUAUUUAUUGGAAUUGUUAUCCCUACGCCAAUCAGCAAGUUGCACAUGCCAGCAAUGU